rnacentral:rRNA from 1 species
UACGUAGGGGGCAAGCGUUGUCCGGAAUCAUUGGGCGUAAAGAGCGUGUAGGCGGCCCGAUAAGUCCGCUGUGAAAGUCCAGGGCUCAACCCUGGAAUGCCGGUGGAAACUGUCGGGCUAGAGUUCGGAAGAGGUGAGUGGAAUUCCUGGUGUAGCGGUGAAAUGCGCAGAUAUCAGGAGGAACACCAAUGGCGAAGGCAGCUCACUGGGACGAUACUGACGCUGAGACGCGAAAUCGUGGGGAGCAAACAGG